GACAGAGGUGCCGAGCGUUAGGCGGAAUCACUUGGGCUUAAAGCGUGUGUAGGCGGAUCCGUAAGUACCUUGUGAAAUCCCACGGCUCAACCGUGGAACUGCUUGGUAUACUGCGGGUCUUGAGCCACCUAGGGGCGAGCGGAACAAGUGGUGGAGCGGUGAAAUGCGUAGAUAUCACUUGGAACGCCAAUGGUGAAAACAGCUCGCUGGGGGUCGUGCUGACGCGUGAGACACGAAAGCCAGGGGAGCAA
rnacentral:rRNA from 1 species